AGCAGCCGCGGUAAUUCCAGCUCCAAUAGCGUAUAUUAAAGUUGUUGCAGUUAAAAAGCUCGUAGUUGAAUUUCGGGGUUAGCAAGUUGGUCGUGCCUUCGGUAUGCACUGGCUUUGCUGAUUCCUCCUUCUUGAAGAACUGUGAUGUUAUUAAUUUGGUGUUGCAGGGGAAACAGGACUGUUACUUUGAAAAAUUAGAGUGUUUAAAGCAGGCUAACGCUUGAAUACAUUAGCAUGGAAUAAUGAAAUAGGACGUUUGAUCCUAUUUUGUUGGUUUCUAGGAUUGACGUAAUGAUUAAUAGGGAUAGUUGGGGGCAUUAGUAUUCAAUUGUCAGAGGUGAAAUUCUUGGAUUUAUUGAAGACUAACUACUGCGAAAGCAUUUGCCAAGGAUGUUUUCAUUAAUCAAGAACGAAAGUUAGGGGAUCGAAGACGAUCAGAUACCGUCGUAGUCUUAACCAUAAACUACGCCGACUA
rnacentral:rRNA from 1 species